GAUGAACGCUGGCGGCGUGCCUAAUACAUGCAAGUCGAGCGAACAGAUGAGGAGCUUGCUCCUCUGACGUUAGCGGCGGACGGGUGAGUAACACGUGGAUAACCUACCUAUAAGAAUGGGAUAACUUCGGGAAACCGGAGCUAAUACCGGAUAAUAUAUUGAACCGCAUGGUUCUAUAGUGAAAGACGGUUUUGCUGUCACUUAUUGAUGGAUCCGCGCCGCAUUAGCUAGUUGGUAAGGUAACGGCUUACCAAGGCAACGAUGCGUAGCCGACCUGAGAGGGUGAUCGGCCACACUGGAACUGAGACACGGUCCAGACUCCUACGGGAGGCAGCAGUAGGGAAUCUUCCGCAAUGGGCGAAAGCCUGACGGAGCAACGCCGCGUGAGUGAUGAAGGUCUUCGGAUCGUAAAGCUCUGUUAUUAGGGAAGAACAAAUGUGUAAGUAACUAUGCACGUCUUGACGGUACCUAAUCAGAAAGCCACGGCUAACUACGUG
rnacentral:rRNA from 1 species